CAGCCGCCGCGGUAAAACGUAGGUGGCAAGCGUUGUCCGGAAUUAUUGGGCGUAAAGGGCUCGCAGGCGGUUUCUUAAGUCUGAUGUGAAAGCCCCCGGCUCAACCGGGGAGGGUCAUUGGAAACUGGGAAACUUGAGUGCAGAAGAGGAGAGUGGAAUUCCACGUGUAGCGGUGAAAUGCGUAGAGAUGUGGAGGAACACCAGUGGCGAAGGCGACUCUCUGGUCUGUAACUGACGCUGAGGAGCGAAAGCGUGGGGAGCGAACAGGAUUAGAUACCCCAGUAGUCCCUGUCUCUUAUAC
rnacentral:rRNA from 1 species